ensembl:lncRNA
AUUCAGAAGAUGCUUGUUUUGUUUUUAUUUUACUUAUUUCCAAACUCCUUUUUUCGCAUUUUGCCUUGUUAAGAGCUCCGCAAUGGCUGACCUGGGAAUUGAGUUUUAAUUAAUGGAGGGAAAUUCUUCUCGUCCGCCCCAUAAUGAGAGAAGACAGAGCAAUCCUGAAGCCAAAGUUUCAGUGGAUCCAUUAUCGGAUUCUCACAAAUGACCAAAUGAAAACAAGGAAGCCCGCCGCCGCAGACACAAGCUGCACAACUGAAUCCGAUCACUUCCCAUCCGUG